CCGCGGUAAUACGUAGGGUGCGAGCGUUAAUCGGAAUUACUGGGCGUAAAGCGUGCNCAGCGGUGAUGUAAGACAGAUGUGAAAUCCCCGGGCUCAACCUGGGACCUGCAUUUGUGACUGCAUCGCUAGAGUACGGCAGAGGGGGAUGGAAUUCCGCGUGUAGCAGUGAAAUGCGUAGAUAUGCGGAGGAACACCGAUGGCGAAGGCAAUCCCCUGGNCCUGUACCUGACGCUCAUGCA
rnacentral:rRNA from 1 species